UCAAGCUACAAAGGGCUCACGGAGGAUACCUAGGCACACAGAGGCGAUGAAGGACGUGGUUACCUGCGAUAAGUCUCGGGGAGUUGGAAGCACACUUUGAUCCGGGAAUUUCCGAAUGGGGCAACCCCAUGUACGGCCAACUGAAUAUAUAGGUUGGUGCGAGCUAACCCAGCGAACUGAAACAUCUUAGUAGCUGGAGGAAGAGAAAGUAAAUAACGACUCCCUCAGUAGCGGCGAGCGAACGGGGAAUAGCCCAAACCGAUAGUCUUGACUAUCGGGGUUGUGGGACAGCAAUAUGGAUCAACAAGUCUAGAAGAAACGUUUGAAUGGCGUGCCACAGAGGGUGAAAGCCCCGUAAUCGAAAGAUAAGUUGACCUAGCUGUAUCCCGAGUAGCACGGAGCACGUGGAAUUCCGUGUGAAUCUGCGAGGACCACCUCGUAAGGCUAAGUACUACUGUGUGACCGAUAGUGAAACAGUACCGCGAGGGAAAGGUGAAAAGAACCCCGGGAGGGGAGUGAAAUAGAACAUGAAACCGUGAGCUUACAAGCAAUGGGAGCCCGACUAAUCGGGUGACCGUGUGCCUGUUGAAGAAUGAGCCGGCGACUUAUAGGCACUGGCGGGUUAAACCGGAAAUGGUGGAGCCACAGCGAAAGCGAGUCUUAAUAGGGCGUUUGUCAGUGUUUAUAGACCCGAACCCUGGUGAUCUAACCAUGGCCAGGAUGAAGCUUGGGUGAUACCAAGUGGAGGUCCGAACCGACUGAAGUUGAAAAUUCAGCGGAUGAGCUGUGGUUAGGGGUGAAAUGCCAAUCGAACCAGGAGCUAGCUGGUUCUCCCCGAAAUACGUUGAGGCGUAGCGUCUAGUGCUCCAGCAGGGGGGUAAAGCAACCAUUUCGGUGCGGGCUGCGAAAGCGGUACCAAAUCGAUAUGAACUCUGAAUACCCUGUGUGUAACUAGGCAGUCAGACUGUGGGGGAUAAGCUCCAUAGUCAAGAGGGAAACAGCCCAGACCGCCAGCUAAGGUCCCAAAAUUAACGCUAAGUGAUAAAGGAGGUGGGAUUGCCCAGACAACCAGGAGGUUUGCCUAGAAGCAGCCAUCCUCAAAGGAGUGCGUAAUAGCUCACUGGUCGAGCGAUCCUGCGCCGAAAAUGAACGGGGCUAAGCGUUAUACCGAAGCUGCGGAUAAAUUUAUUUAUGGUAGGGGAGCGUUCUAUGUAGGGUGAAGCGUUAGCGUAAGCGGACGUGGACAGCAUAGAAGUGAGAAUGUCGGCUUGAGUAGCGAAAACAUGGGUGAGAAUCCCAUGCCCCGAAACCCUAAGGGUUCCUCCGGCAGGCUCGUCCGCGGAGGGUUAGUCUGGACCUAAGGCGAGGCCGAAAGGCGUAGUCGAUGGAUAACAGGUCAAUAUUCCUGUACCAGAUGUGUUUUGAGAAGGGGGACGGAGAAGGCUAACCAGGCCAGAUGUUGGUUACUGGUUCAAGCGUUCGAGGCUUUGAGAGAUGGAGAAAACAUCUUGAGCUAAGGCGUGAGUACGAGCUGCUACGGCAGCGAAGUUGGUGAUGUCAUGCUUCCAAGAAAAGCCCUAUACUCGUUAAGACACAAAUGCCAGUACCCGAAACCGACACAGGUGGGGUGGUAGAGAAUACCGAGGGGCGCGAGAUAACUCUCUCUAAGGAACUCGGCAAAAUGGCCCCGUAACUUCGGGAGAAGGGGUGCCAGCGAGAGCUGGUCGCAGUGAAGAGGCGCAAGCGACUGUUUACCAAAAACACAGGUCUCCGCUAAGUCGCAAGACGAUGUAUGGGGGCUGACACCUGCCCAGUGCCGGAAGGUUAAGGAAGCUGGUUAGCUUUUAGUGAAGCUGGCGACUGAAGCCCCGGUGAACGGCGGCCGUAACUAUAACGGUCCUAAGGUAGCGAAAUUCCUUGUCGGGUAAG
rnacentral:rRNA from 1 species